UCCAAUGUAUAAUUAAAGAAGAGGAUUUACUGUGUGAACCAAAAAAACAUUAAAACUCCUUUUCCACUUAUGAUAGAACUACACAAUUCCUUUUCAUUCUCCAUUAAUACUAGGCAAAAAAAUCACACAAAUCUGAUGCCUUGAAGAAAAAUGAAAGAUCGAACAAAAUUAAAUGCACAGAGCUACGCACCCACAAAUUUGAUGCCUUAAAGAAAAAGAAAGAUUGGAAAAAUUAAGUGCACAGAUCUACACACCAUCACAAGAAAUAUGAAGGAAAUUUUUCAGAUCUAUAACCGAAUGAGUGGCACAAAGACAGCGCGUCUGAUUUUAUAUCAGAAAAUUGUGUGUUCAAUUCACGUCGGUUCUUUUCCGAUAUGUUCCCGACCUUAUAUGAUUUCUUAAAGGGUACUAUUUCAACAAAUAGCUUUUCAGGUAUGGAGCAAUCAACCACAGCUCUAAUACCAUUGUAAUUAAAUCGAAGCAAAAUCAACGAAUUGUGUACCUUUUAUUUACAGCAGAAGUGUUGAAUUUGCUACGACUAUGAAUUGCCCCAAGUCCACUUCAUCUCUCUUGGAAACAAGAGUAUUGUGUUCACAAAACUAAAUGUCUGUUUUGGAUGUGAAUAAGAAAAAUGAUUUUUCUUUUUGUUGUUUUCUUGCUGUUUUUAAAAGAAAAAUCAGUUCCAAAAUUAAUAAUCAGUUACAUUUGUAGUUAUUCCCCUUAAUUUAAAUCAAUGUAACUCUACCUUGUCUUCUUAUUUGAAAAAUGAAAUGAGUCGGAUUUGAUCAGAUCUGAGUCGGGUCAGGUCACACAUGAGCGAUUCCUGACUCAAAAUUCUUACACUAAUGAUUAUUAAAUGAUUGAAGGUUUAAGUGGGUAAUGAUGUGCUAGUGUUGCAUACUGUUAACUCGUAAAUGGACACCAUUGGUUUCUGAUUGUGGCUCCGAUGUUUGAAAUUUAUCUUAGGUUAUUACUUUAUAAUUCAAGUUUUAUUAUAUUGAGAUAUAUAAUUAAAUAUUAGGUGUAUUAUAUUAUAUGAAAAUUAUUGAAAUUAAGUUAUUUGUAGAAAUUAAAACUUAACCUUAGAUAUUUAGGAAAUUAAUUAUAGUAAUAUGGGUGUCUAUGGAUUCGCUUGCUUACGAAUAUUGUAUACCUAUUAGAUUGGAAACGUUCUGAGACAUUGAAGAAAGGAAAAACACUAGUAAAUUAGUUUGCUAGACUUUGAUUCUUCGACUGAGAUAUGUUAUGAUUUAUUCUAUAUCAUAGAUAUAUUCUUAAUAACAACGAUUGAUAGUCAUUGAGUAAUGUAUGAAGUUUAUUAUGCAUUUAAUUGUUAUGGUUUGGAUGGUUGAUAUGUUUUUGUGAUGCAAUCUCAAAAUCAUGAAAUUCAUAAUCUUGAACUUGCCUUAUCAAAAGUGAUGUCUUGAAUAAAGAAAAUUUGAUAAAAUAUUGUUACUGAAGUGGAAUGUGAUAAUAAAGAAUGAGAAAUUAAAUAUAUAUUUGGAUCGGGUGUCAUUAGCCGACACAAUAUGUUUGGAUCGGAUGUCAUGAGUCGACACAUCAUUAUUUGAAUCAGGUGUCAUGAGCCGACACGAUAUAUUUGAAUCGGGUGUCACAAAACGACACGAUAUUAUUGAAACGAGUGUCAUAUUUCGACACGGUAAUAUUAAAAAUAAAUAAAUAAAAUGACUUAAUAUUACUCAAUCUCAAAUAACUUAUUUCCCAAAAGUGCUUGGUUUGUAGGCCUGAGUCCUCAUGAAUUCUCUUAAUAUUGUUGACUGACUACGUAAUUGUUUCAUUGUGUUGUUAUUGACCUUGUUGUUGCCACCUGUUAAGUGUUAUGGUUGAUUUUCUGUUAUUACUUUAUGCAAUUUGAUUUCUAUUUUGAGUCGGCUGAUGAUAUCUACUCAGUACAUGUUGUCCUGUAUUGACUUCUACUUGUAUUUUUUUCUUUGUUUGAUUUUGUGGAGUGCAAUGAGUGUUUUAUUGACUUCGACUCGCCCUCAGUCUAGUUAGUGUCCAACACAUCAGGUUCCAGGGUGAGCUAUUCCUUAAAGCUCGUGUUGAAUUCUCUCGAUCAUGGCAUAAUGUCCUUUAUUUUAGGACACAAACUAUGUUAUUUGUUAAUUCUGGUGUUUGAUAUUUUUAGACUUUGUAUUUAGAAUUAGAUGUCUUUGAUGUGAUGACUUUCAGGUUUUUAGAAGGAUACUUUCAGGUUUUUAGAAGGAUAUGUAAAUUCUAGUGAAUUGUUGUUUCUUAUUUUCGUAAGUUGGGCUUCUGCAUUAUUGUCGUAUUUUAUAAGUUGAGUCACUAAUAUAAGUUGGAGUUUGUAUUGUUGGUUCUCCCACCUAAGAUGUUAAGUGUAGAUGCCACUCAUAUCUCAUUUUGAAUCGUGACAUAGAUAGAUAGAUGGAGAUAGAUAUGAAUUAUUACUCCCUGUUUUUUUUAACAUACCCUUGUUAAUUGACUUGACACUUAAUUUAAGUAACUAUUUAUUAGGAUGGUACAUUAAGAGCCUGUUUGGAUGAACUUAUUUUUAAGUAAUUUAUAAGUUGUAAACUGUUUAUAAGUUAAAAAAAAAUAAGUAGGUGUAGCCCAACUUAUUUUUUUUGACUCAUAAGUUGUUUUCAACUUAUAAGUUGCUUAAAAUAAGUUCAUUCAAACAAAUUCAAUUAUUUAUUGAGGCUUAUUUUAAGCACAAAAUAAUUAAGUUGGCAAGCCAAACACUUUAAAAAGCUGAAAACAACUUAGAAGGAACUUAUAAGUCAAUUUAAACGGACUCUAAGUCAAUGUUCAAAGGAAUUUCGAGCUGAAAAUUUUUGUUCGUAGUGUGGAGUUUAAAUUCAUUAUUCGUGACAGACAUCCAAGUGUUUUCAGUGAAUAAGUCAAAUCAAAUUCAAGAUAAAAGAUUCAACCCCAAGUUAUUCAAGACCUUUGAUCAAAUCAAAUUCAAAUUUAACAUAGUUUACAUUAUUGUUGAUAGAAUCGAAGGAGUAUAUAACGAUUGUAACACUCAUUAAAUUUGAAAUUAAAUAUUAUAAUUAUUGUGAU